rnacentral:misc_RNA from 1 species
CAACCCUCAAGCUCUCUUGCUUGGUGUUGGGGCUUCUGCGGCUUCGGCCGCAGGCCCUGAAAAACAGUGGCGGGCUCGCUAUAACUCCGAGCGUAGUAAUCUCUCUCGCUUUGGAAGUGUGGCGGUUCCCGGCCGUUAAACCCCCCAAUUUCUGAA